CAGCCGCCGCGGUAAUACGUAGGGUGCGAGCGUUAAUCGGAAUUACCGGGCGUAAAGCGUGCGCAGGCGGUUCGUUAAGACAGAUGUGAAAUCCCCGGGCUUAACCUGGGAACUGCAUUUGUGACUGGCGAGCUAGAGUAUGGCAGAGGGGGGUGGAAUUCCGCGUGUAGCAGUGAAAUGCGUAGAUACGCGGAGGAACACCGAUGGCGAAGGCAGCCCCCUGGGCCAAUACUGACGCUCAUGCACGAAAGCGUGGGGAGCAAACAGGAUUAGAUACCCCCGUAGUCCCUGUCUCUUAUAC
rnacentral:rRNA from 1 species